rnacentral:misc_RNA from 1 species
UCCGGUUUGUCACCGGCAGUCUCCCUAGAGUGCCCUUGCGUAGCAACUAGGGACAAGGGUUGCGCUCGUUGCGGGACUUAACCAAACACCUCACGGCACGAGCUGACGACAGCCAUGCAACAAGUGUCUUCAGGUCUCCUUGUGGGAGAGGGCCAUAUUUCUAUGGAUUUCCUUCGAUGUCAAGCCUGGGUAAGGUUCUUCGGUUAGUAUCGAAUUAAUCCACAUGCUCCACCGCUUGUGCGGGUCCCCGUCAAUUCAUUUGAGUUUCAACCUUGCGGCCGUAGUCCCCAGGCGGGAUACUUAGUGCGUUAGCUGCGGCACAAGAGGGGUCGAUACCUCUUACGCCUAGUAUCCAUCGUUUAGGGCGUGGACUAC